AACAUCACAUAAAGGCAAGUCUAUAAAAAUGUGUUUUAAGAAGUGAUAUAAAAGAAGUCACUGAUUCUGCAAGCCUUUAGCAACAAAACAGAAAAGAGUAUUUAUUAAAUUAAAUUUCAUAAAACCUCCGAAAUUACUUAGACCAAACUGCUUUGGGCCUUAACUUUUAUGAGUGGUUUAGAAGCUCUUUAAGAACAAUUUUCUACAUAAACUGACGAAUAAAAUAAAUGUUAAUGCAUAUUUUACUUUGAAAUAGAAGUGUGUGUUUUUUUGUGUGUUUUGUUUUGCAUUUGUGUGAAUUUGUUUGACUGUAAGGAUGAUAAAGAAUCUGCUGACCACGCCUGCAUAUACACUUUACUGCUGCACUGUUCUACUGUAUAAAAUCAUGUUGUCAGUGGUUUCUAUGAAAAGUCAGUAUCUGUAUCACUUCACUGCAUGUGUUUCAAAUCCUGAGACAUGGCUGAAAUUACACCAAGAUGUUUGUCCAUGUAGGGCCUGUAGGCCUUCUGCCGUGUAGACUUAUUUUGGUCCAACACGUCCUCCCUUGUGUCCUUGAAACAGGCUUUUUGUGUUUCCCUGAAGGGAACUGGGGAGUUUUCACCCUGUGCAUGAGGUCUACCGUCCUGUUGGUUUGUCUCUGUGCAAACCUGUUCAGUCAGACCCUCAUCUAAUCUCCUCAAAGCGCGGAUGGGGAGGCUCAACCCUUGGCUUAAACCCAGUCAAAUCCACACAAUGAGCUUUGACAAGCUUUUGCUCUUUCCUCUUUUCCUCUAUCACCCUUUUGCUCCCACCCUCUGUUUUUUUUUUUUUUCCUUCCUCUUGUUCCCCCAAUUUUCUUUUCUAUGAACUUUCUUGAACUUUUGAAACUGCCAAUAUUGACGUGGGAGAGACGUUUUAAGACCUUGAUAUUACCACAUAAACAACUGUGUUUGUUUUAUAGAGCAAACAUGCUCCAAAGCAAUCUAUUACAGAUUAAAGUGUCGUAUGCCUUAUCAGAAUAUCCCGGAUAAGACAUUAAAUUUAAGAGCUCAUCAAUAUAUUAUCGCUGAGUCAACAGUUGAAGAAUGGGAAUAACGCUUCGCCAAAAUACCAUCAUCCUGCUGUAAUCACAUUCAUUUCACCUGUCAUCGUUUUGGUUUUGAUGUUGCACAGAUAAGUAGUGCGUGCUGAGUUCAGUGGUGUUUCCGUUGCAGAUAGAAGCAAAACCUACAAAUCGUGUGUUUUAUGAUUCCCACCUCAUUAAGCAUCUGCACACUCAAGGUCUCCUCCCAUUGGUUGGAAUCAAACUCUAAGUGUCAGCUCACAGAUGUCAUUAGAGAUCUUGUCAGUGUUUAAAAAUCUGCCCCAACAGCUCUGCAUUAAAUCCAAAUACUGACGAUUAUUUUCACUUGUCUACAUAGAUUUUCUUCAUGAGAAAUGGUACCGAUGGCCAAGCAGUGAUCUGUCAGAGCUUUAUGCCAUAUGUUAAAACAGUGAUAUUGAAGCAGAUUCUAGGUUAAAACAUUCAAACAUUGUGUAACUACUUUGGGGAAAUGAUUUGUUAAUGAUUAUCUCUCACGCAGAAUUAGGAUAUCAUCCCUUUUUUUUUUUUUUACAUUUUUCUGAACCUGCUGAACUGCUUUGCUUCUAUCCUUUGCGUGUUUCCCAGCUCAUUCCUCAUUUACAGGAACAACCUCCCAGCUUUCUGUCAGUCGGAUAUUUCAAAAAAUCAAACCUGAGGCUUUCUUCCCCAUGAAGGAGCUCAUUUUAUCCAAGGGUGAUAAGGGAUUACCGCUGUUUCAUUUGGGCUCUAAAGGAACGAUGUUGACAAAACGUGGAAAAAUGGAAGCCACUGUGAUUAGCGCAAACCGAGAGAGAAUUCACACAUUUCAAAUCCAGUGACCAGACACUGUGGGAAUCUGAAAACAAAUGUUUAGUUUAUUUCCAAUACGCAACAAAACCAAGUAAUCCCACUUAGUCUUUACAAAUGAAACAGAUUAUAAGAAAACAAAACAAACAGAAACAAAAACCUGUACAUAAACAU